rnacentral:lncRNA from 1 species
GACCAUUGCAGUGGCCGGUCGGCAUCCUGCAUGGGAGUCGCUACAAGGACGCUCGGGCGGUGCUUGGAACAACACAGGGAGGGACAUGGAGAGGGCUGGAUUGACAACUGCCCUAUCCAUUGGGGCUUGCGAGGGUGAUAUAGAGAUGCACUGGCGGGGGGCCAGAGUGUUGAAGCGGCUAACCGGCCCAGCGCGGGCCAUGUGUGGAGAGAUGCUGGAGAUCCUUGCCCGACAGAAGGCGGAGACUUUGCUCAACGAGCGUCCCACUGCGGGGAUGCCGGACGCAUGGAGCUGCCUCCUCCGGGCGGCUGGGGACCCGGAUGGUCGUGCGCAGC